rnacentral:rRNA from 1 species
UAAGGACCCGUAUGAAUGGCUAAUUGAGGGUGACACUGUCUCAUACGAUUAAUCAAUGAACCUGAUCUCCCAGUACAAAAGCUGGGAUAAAACCACAAGACGAGAAGACCCUGUGGAGCUUAAAGCCAAAAUACUGACUCACCCUAAAACAGUAUUCACCUUAAGUUGGGGCAACUACGGAGAAAAACAGAACCUCCGCGAUAAAGGAGCUUAACACCACCAAGGGGGACACCCCAAAAAGUGAUGCCCCUUAUGACCCAGUAAAACUGAGUACCGAACCAAGUUACCCCAGGGAUAACAGCGCCAUCCCCCUCAAGAGUCCACAUCAACAGGGGGGCUUACGACCUCGAUGUUGGAUCAGGACACCCAGGUGGUGCAGCCGCUACCAAUGGUCCGUUUGUUCAACGGCUAACGUCCU